GUCAGCAUCAAGCUCUGGACUUAGAGCAAACCUUUGAUUUCCAUGAUGGCACCAGGGGGAGGAAGCUUUGUCAUAGAGGAAGAGACAUAGAGCUAAGAAGAGAGGGCCAUUCAAUAGAUCACAAAGGAAUGCCUCCAUCACAUGGAUUGCUAUAUUUCCAUCUGUUGAAUGUGUUGAAACUCUACAAACUCUUUCUUGGACAUCCCAUGAGGAAGCAGAAAGUCUUGUGUUUGAGAUGACUGAGUAGGAAUUACAAGAUGAACUUUCUAGCCUUGGAACAACUUUAUGAAUUUUAUAAGUCAGGAACUCAUCGAUGCUUCAAUUGGAGUUGACUAGUAAGAAGAGAAAGAGUUUUCUGCAUUAAUAUCCUUUUCAGAGAUAACAAUCACUCCUGUGAAGAUGAGUCCCAGCUAUAACCUGGCUUGCUAAGAAAUCUGGACGAUGGAGGAGUUCUUUGUGCUUUGCAAAGACAAGAUUCAACAUCACCUGUCCCUUCACUGGAUCUUCAUUUUACAUUACCUUAAGGUCCUCUCUCCUCUCUGGCUUUUCAAUGUCCUCCCUCAAAUGUUGUGUAUAGACUUUUACGUUGUCUCUUCUUGUCCCCCCUUCCUCCCACCUUUCUGGCCUUUCUGUGAUGUCUCUUUCUUUGAAAUGAUGAUAAUGGCAUAUAAGUGACUGAAAAAUAAAUCGUAUUUCAAACCGGACCACCAAAGUACAAACACAUUUCUCUUUUGGUCUAUUAAGUCAUAGAUUUCAAGAGCAAUAAAAGUGUGUAUUUUAAUUUUUUUUAUUGUUCCCCUCCCUUCAAUGCUGGGAGUGUCUGGCUUAGCUGGGAGCAAAGUGUUGGUCAUAGCUACAGAACAUCACCCCUUUGAUCAAUGCCAACAGCAGUCAUAAGAGGUGGUAUUGUGAGCUGGCCUUAGAAUUAGGAAUACCUGUGUUCAUUGUCUCCUACCCCUGUGAGUCUAGGGGACUCACGUUCCCUCUCAAUGCUCCCUAUGACCCACCUAUAAAAUACAGACUAGUUGCUAAUCUUCAUUGGUCAAAGUGAGUUUUCUAUACCAAUAAAAUUAGAUGUUUCUAAAUUACAUGUU